rnacentral:rRNA from 1 species
UACGUACUGUGCGAACGUUAUUCGGAAUCACUGGGCUUAAAGGGUGCGUAGGCGGUUUUUCAAGUCAGGUGUGAAAUCUUCAGGCUCAACCUGGAAAUGGCGCUUGAAACUGAGAGACUUGAGGCAGCUAGGGGUGUGUGGAACUUCCAGUGGAGCGGUGAAAUGUGUUGAUAUUGGAAGGAACGCCGGUGGCGAAAGCGACACACUGGGGCUGAACUGACGCUGAGGCACGAAAGCCAGGGGAGCGAAC